AAAGCGAGCUCCUCUCAAAGGAAUCAGUGGGGUCUGCUUUGCUGGUCCUUGACGUGAUAAGAUGUUUCUACGUUUUGGAUCCGGCGUCGUCCCUGCUCCCAAUCGUCUCAUGGACAAACGAUGGUGCUUCGGUCGCCGCCAUCUACGUUGGCGGGAGGCUGGACCCCCGAAACAGACCUUGACCUCAAAUCGGGUGAGACUACCCGCUGAACUUAAGCAUAUCAAUAAGCGGAGGAAAAGAAACUAACAAGGAUUCCCCUAGUAACUGCGAGUGAAGCGGGAAAAGCUUCAAAUUUAAAAUCUGG
rnacentral:rRNA from 1 species